GUGAAAUGGAAUUUUCAUACCACAUCAUACCUAGAAACCUUUCAAUUUUUAGAGUUCCCCUUUAUGACUGCAUGCGGUUGAAGAAAGUAAGAAAGCUCAGCUUAACAACACAUAAGAAAGUAAGAAAGCUCAGCUUAACAACACAUAGAUGCACGCUAAAAGAAUGCUUUGAUGACAUUAACCAAAGAAAUUUACAAACUGGGAACGGCCUGAUUUGCGUCACUGAUAAAGUGUCUUAUAUAGG
rnacentral:lncRNA from 1 species